rnacentral:rRNA from 1 species
CCUACGGGCGGCAGCAGUAGGGAAUAUUGCUCAAUGGGGGAAACCCUGAAGCAGCAACGCCGCGUGGAGGAUGGAGGUUUUCGGAUUGUAAACUCCUUUUGUUAGAGAAGAUAAUGACGGUAUCUAACGAAUAAGCACCGGCUAACUCCGUGCCAGCAGCCGCGGUAAUACGGAGGGUGCAAGCGUUACUCGGAAUCACUGGGCGGAAAGAGCGCGUAGGCGGGAUAGCAAGUCAGAUGUGAAAUCCUAUGGCUUAACCAUAGAACUGCAUUUGAAACUGUUAUUCUAGAGUAUGGGAGAGGUAGGUGGAAUUCUUGGUGUAGGGGUAAAAUCCGUAGAGAUCAAGAGGAAUACUCAUUGCGAAGGCGACCUGCUAGAACAUAACUGACGCUGAUGCGCGAAAGCGUGGGUAGCAAACGGGAUUAGAUACCCUUGUAGUC